rnacentral:rRNA from 1 species
AUUGAACGCUGGCGGCAUGCCUUACACAUGCAAGUCGAACGGUAGCGGGCCUUCGGGUGCCGACGAGUGGCGAACGGGUGAGUAAUGUAUCGGAACGUACCAUUGAGUGGGGGAUAACGUAGCGAAAGUUACGCUAAUACCGCAUAUUCUCUCCGGAGGAAAGCAGGGGACCGCAAGGCCUUGCGCUCUUUGAGCGGCCGAUAUCAGAUUAGCUAGUUGGUGAGGUAAAGGCUCACCAAGGCGACGAUCUGUAGCGGGUCUGAGAGGAUGAUCCGCCACACUGGAACUGAGACACGGUCCAGACUCCUACGGGAGGCAGCAGUGGGGAAUUUUGGACAAUGGGGGCAACCCUGAUCCAGCCAUGCCGCGUGAGUGAAGAAGGCCUUCGGGUUGUAAAGCUCUUUCGGCCGGGAAGAAAUCGCAUGGGCCAAUACCCUGUGCGGAUGACGGUACCGGCAUAAGAAGCACCGGCUAACUACGUGCCAGCAGCCGCGGUAAUACGUAGGGUGCGAGCGUUAAUCGGAAUUACUGGGCGUAAAGCGUGCGCAGGCGGUUUUGUAAGACAGGCGUGAAAUCCCCGGGCUCANNCCNNGGAACUGCGUUUGUGACUGCAAGGCUAGAGUACGGCAGAGGGGGGUGGAAUUCCACGUGUAGCAGUGAAAUGCGUAGAGAUGUGGAGGAACACCAAUGGCGAAGGCAGCCCCCUGGGUCGAUACUGACGCUCAUGCACGAAAGCGUGGGUAGCAAACAGGAUUAGAUACCCUGGUAGUCCACGCCCUAAACGAUGUCAACUAGGUGUUGGGUGGGUAAAACCAUUUAGUACCGGAGCUAACGCGUGAAGUUGACCGCCUGGGGAGUACGGCCGCAAGGUUAAAACUCAAAGGAAUUGACGGGGACCCGCACAAGCGGUGGAUGAUGUGGAUUAAUUCGAUGCAACGCGAAAAACCUUACCUACCCUUGACAUGUCCAGAAGCCUGAAGAGAUUUGGGUGUGCCCGAAAGGGAACUGGAACACAGGUGCUGCAUGGCUGUCGUCAGCUCGUGUCGUGAGAUGUUGGGUUAAGUCCCGCAACGAGCGCAACCCUUGUCGUUAAUUGCCAUCAUUCAGUUGGGCACUCUAACGAGACUGCCGGUGACAAACCGGAGGAAGGUGGGGAUGACGUCAAGUCCUCAUGGCCCUUAUGGGUAGGGCUUCACACGUCAUACAAUGGUCGGUACAAAGGGUUGCCAAGCCGCGAGGUGGAGCCAAUCCCAGAAAGCCGAUCGUAGUCCGGAUCGUAGGCUGCAACUCGCCUGCGUGAAGUCGGAAUCGCUAGUAAUCGUGGAUCAGCAUGUCACGGUGAAUACGUUCCCGGGUC